rnacentral:tRNA from 1 species
GCGCCCAUAGCUCAGAGGAUUAGAGCAGCCGCCUUCUAAGCGGCAGGUCGUUGGUUCGAGUCCAACUGGGCGCGCCA